CCAAUAGCGUAUAUUAAAGUUGUUGCAGUUAAAAAGCUCGUAGUUGAACUUCGGGGUUCACCCAUUGGUCAGGCUUAAUUGUCUGCACUGGUGAGAUGAGUCUCUACCUUCUGAGGAACUUUCAUGCCAUUUAUUUGGUGUGGCUGGAAAUCAGGACUGUUACUUUGAAAAAAUUAGAGUGUUUAAAGCAGGCUAACGUCUGAAUACAUUAGCAUGGAAUAAUGAAAUAGGACGGACUGAUUCUAUUUCGUUGGUUUCUAGGAUCACCGUAAUGAUUAAUAGGGAUAGUUGGGGGCAUUAGUAUUCAAUUGCCAGAGGUGAAAUUCUUGGAUUUAUUGAAGACUAACUACUGCGAAAGCAUUUGCCAAGGAUGUUUUCAUUAAUCAAGAACGAAAGUUAGGGGAUCGAAGACGAUCAGAUACCGUCGUAGUCUUAACCAUAAACUAUGCCGACUAGGGAUCGGACGAAGUUAAUUUUAUAAUGACGCGUUCGGCACCUUACG
rnacentral:rRNA from 1 species